rnacentral:rRNA from 1 species
AACUUUGCAUCCUGAUGAUAUAUUACUACUUGCAAAUUUCAUAUUGUCCUCCGAAUCUUUUAGGACUUCGGAGUCUUUUUCACCCAUAUGCUUGCCAAGAUACAAUCCUAUGGCCUUCCUAUACGCUUAUGUUCAUUUUUUUGAUGAAAAUACUUACUUGACUCUUCUUACUCCGAGAUCAGAUGCCUUCUUUGAUUUGAAAGAUUCAAGGUGAG